UUAUUAGCAAACAGAAAAUUCUCGAGUUUCAAAGUCUUCAUGCAUUAACUCCAUUCUCAUGACACAUUCUAACUAUUUCAGUGCUGCCGCUACCUCACUGUAAUGCUAAUGUCAGCUUUUAUGUCCAUGUGAGUGCGUGUAAGUAUCAUGCUCACGGCCACACCAGUUCUAGGGAUUAAAUUAUUCCACAAUAUAGAAGUUUAGAAGGUCAAAAAGAUGAACCUAAGUUGAGAUGGUAAGUGAGGGGUAAAUUAAAUCCAGUCUUACGUGGAUAGCUGGCAAUAACAAAUGUCAGUUUUUAUGUUCACAUGGCUACGCAUGAAUAUCAUGCCUAUGGGUAUGCUAUAACAAUCACACCUUUCUGUUAUUAUACAACUAUAUAAUUUCAUGUAAGAUAUCCUAAAAUGGCAAAACAAUAAAAAAUAAGUAUACAUAUAAAGUAGAUCCUAUAAAAUUAUAACUAUCAAAUAAUUAUUCAACAGUUCUAUUUUUUAAAAAUUUAACUGAAUUCAUAUAUGUGCUAAAUCCCUGUUACCUUGCAAUUCCAUGUUAUAUGCUAUUGAAUCACAGUUUUAUAAUAUAAUUUCUCCUAAAUUAGACAUGAUUAAAAUAAAUUAACUUAAUUAAUAAUUAAUAAAAAAAUCCCUUUUAAAUUAGAGAUGAUUUUCUUACUCCACCAAAAUCGAAAGAGAGGGAAGUAUUAAUCUUCUAUGGGUAUUAUUCUUCGAUAAUGGACGACGACGAUGAAGAGAGUUAUGAUGAGAGAAUGAUGUGUGACCAAAAGCACAGAAAGAAAAAAGAAGAGAAAGAUCACUUGGAGACUUCUGAUUGAAUGGGUAAUGUUUUUGUUUUAUCAUAUUAACUUGCUUGACCUGUUUUCUUACGAUAGAAUCUGUCGAAAAAAAUGCAUAAUUGGGGUCUUGAAGUCUGGAAUUGGUGCUUAAUGGUUAUGAUAACAUUUUGUGGGCUUUUAGUUUGUGGUGGGGUAUAAUGGGUUUUGCAGUUUUCUUAAUUGAGAGAAACUUCAUGCUUAGAGAGAAGGUAUUGGGCUGUUAUGGAUCAUAGAAGAGCAUUCAAAAUUGUGUUCAGUUGGGCCUUUUUCUUCUCGCAUGGA
rnacentral:misc_RNA from 1 species